rnacentral:rRNA from 1 species
GAUGAACGCUGGCGGCGUGCCUAAUACAUGCAAGUCGAACGAGGUGCUUGAGUAGCAAUACAAGAGUAUCCUAGUGGCGAACGGGUGAGUAACGCGUGGAUGACCUGCCCCAAAGUGUGGGAUAACAGUCCGAAAGGAUUGCUAAUACCUCAUGUGGUUAUCGGAUUUAGAAACUGAUAACUAAAGCAGCAAUGCGCUUUGGGAGGGAUCUGCGUCCCAUCAGCUAGUUGGUGAGGUAACGGCUCACCAAGGCGACGACGGGUAGGGGACCUGAGAGGGUGGCCCCCCACAAUGGAACUGAAACACGGUCCAUACACCUACGGGUGGCAGCAGUAGGGAAUAUUGCUCAAUGGGCGAAAGCCUGAAGCAGCAACGCCGCGUGUGCGAUGAAGGCCUUGGUCGUAAAGCACUUUUCUUACGAGAUGAGAAAGGACAGUAUCGUAGGAAUAAGUACUCGGCUAACUACGUGCCAGCAGCCGCGGU